GAUGAACGCUGGCGGCGUGCCUAAUACAUGCAAGUCGAGCGAACAGACGAGGAGCUUGCUCCUCUGACGUUAUCGGCGGACGGGUGAGUAACACGUGUAUAACCUACCUAUAAGACUGGGAUAACUUCGUGAAACCGGAGCUAAUACCGGAUAAUAUAUUGAACCGCAUGGUUCAAUAGUGAAAGACGGUUUUGCUGUCACUUAUAGAUGGAUCCGCGCCGCAUUAGCUAGUUGGUAAGGUAACGGCUUACCAAGGCAACGAUGCGUAGCCGACCUGAGAGGGUGAUCGGCCACACUGGAACUGAGACACGGUCCAGACUACUACGGGAGGCAGCAGUAGGGAAUCUUCCGCAAUGGGCGAAAGCCUGACGGAGCACCGCCGCGUGAGUGAUGAAGGUCUUCGGAUCUUAAAACUCUGUUAUUAGGGAAGAACAAAUGUGUAAGUAACUAUGCACGUCUUGACGGUACCUAAUCAGAAAGCCACGGCUAACUACGUG
rnacentral:rRNA from 1 species